GGCAAGCCACGUUGGUCGGUCGUAACAUCAAAAGCACGAAAGGGCCACCACACAGCACGACCAGAGAUUACGGAUCCCACUUACAAGUAUGUUGGAAAGCUCAUCAAGGAGGCAAUGGAGAGCAGCAAACAGUGGCGGUCCCUGGCUGCUGCAUCGAGGGCCAACACCGUCGUCUUCCCGGCACCGAUGACUGCAGCCUACACAAGGCCUCCAAAAGAGGAACUCGUGGCAGCACGAAUGUCCAGGUUCGGCCACAGUCCCCAGUAACGGCAUCAAAUCCCUGGUCGGGACUUCCAUGCUGCCGCAGGACGUACGGCGAAUGCAAGCAGACAGACCCAAGAGAAAACAGCCGAGCUGCAAAAUGGUUC